rnacentral:tRNA from 1 species
GAUAUUUAGGCUAUCGCAUUAAACCAGAGACCUUCAAAGUCCCAAAAAGGGGUAAACCCUAAUAUCUGUCAGUUAAGGCCU